GCUGAGUAGCCAAAUAGGAUGCACUAAGGCAGAACUGGCAAUCUCAUAUUUUGCAUUUGUUUUUUUCAGAAAGAAAAUGGAGAUGUAGUUGAUUGUGAUUUUGCCACUAUGUGAGGAGGGAACUACAGCUUAAGAUAAGGUCAGAGAGAACUUAGCUAAUUUAAACGAAUUCCAAAUCUCCAGGGCUGGAUGAAUUAGAUUCCACAAUGUUGAAGGAACACCUGGGGUCGGCUGAAGUUGAGGUGAUUGCACAACAACUGGAAAUCUUUGAGAACUUUGAUCUUUGAGACUGUGAGGUCCCAGAAAACUGUGGGAGACAAAUGUCAUUGCUAUUUUUGGAAAAGGGAAGGAGAACGUGAGAAACAACAGGCCUGUCAGCAAAUUGCCAUAGAUAUAAUGUUCCAUGAUAGUCUUUAUAAAAUGGUAAAAUAAGGUGGAUAGGCUACUGUUAGAAAACUGAUUGAAUAUGUCAAUAUGGUGCUCGUUGAUGGUUCUACUUUAACUUGGAAGGAAGAAUUAAGUGAAAAGCCACAGAGCUCGUUCCUUAGCCUUGUGAUGUUCAACAUUUUUUGUAAUGCCUUAGAUGGCAGAAUGAAGCAGAUACUUACCAAGUUUGCAGUUGGCACAAAACUGCCAACAAUGAAAAAGAAAAUUCAAAAUUAUCCAGAUGGAUUUGAGAAGUUGAUGGAAAUUAAUAGGAUAGAAUUUAUCAAGGAGAAAUGUAGGGAUCAAAUUCAGGUAGGAAAAUAUAAGGAAAAACAUAGAAAUCUGGCUUGUUACAAAUAUCCAGAAAGGACCUGGAUAUCUUUGUCAACCAUAAGUUAAAAAUGAGCCAGCAAUUUGAUGCAACUGUUAAAAAGUCAAAUAUUAUAUUGGGAAGCAUUAACAGUAGAACAGAAUCCAAAUUGCAAAAAGUAAUUGUUCUACUCUACUUUGACUUUAGACCAGGGGUGUCAAACUCGGGUCGUCAUGGCAGCAUCACGUGACAUAUUGCGACUUCUUUCCUCUUUGCUAAACUGGACGUGGGCGUGGCCAGCAUGUGACGCAUCCAGUCCGCGGGCCACGAGUUUGACAGCCCUGCUUUAGACCCUUUUUGGAGUACUUGACCACAAUUUAAAAACACAAUGACAAAUAGGUACAAAUUCAGAAAAGGACUAGCAUUGACUACACUGGCAAUUUCUUAGACCAUUGAGUCUCUGCUUUUGCAGGAAACUAGAGAAGGCAGUGCUAGUACAUGGACACAGUGUGGGAGGAUGUGUAGGAACAUAGAAAGUUAUCUAACAGCUCAAUAGAUUCUCUCAUCAAUAGUAGCCCAAAUCUCUUUCUGACCAAAAUCUUAACCAGAGUUCUUUAUCAUCUGCUUGCUUCUUUUUUUAUCUUUUAUUUUUUAAAAUUUGAUUUAUAUGCCGCCCUUCUCCGGAGACUCAGGGCGGCUUACAAUGCGUUAAGCAAUAGCCUUCAUACUUUUGUAUAUUUAUACAAAGUCAGCUUAUUGCCCCCACAAACUGGGUCCUCAUUUCAACUACCUUAGAAAGGAUGGAAGGCUGAGUCAACCUUGAGCCUUGGAGAGAUUCGAACCAGCAGUAAAUUGCAAGCAGCUGUGUUAAUAACAGGGUGCUUAGACCACUGUACCAGAAAGGCUUCUUGUUCUUUGGCCUAGGAUUGUCUUUAAUGCAAAGCCUGUGCUCAAAUACCACUUUCCUUGACAGAAUUUUACUAACCAGACUUAUGUGAGCUAUUUUAUAUGAGAUCAUAUUACAAAACCUCUAUUUCCUAAAUUGCUCUGCUUUUCUUAAAUGCUUGCACUUCCUUUCCUUUACCAGACUCUGCAGGUCUCUACUUAAUCUAUCAGUUUGUGCUUCCAUUUUCCUCUUUUUCUGUGGCUAAGUAAUUGCUCCCAAGGUACUGAUUUUCUUUAUAGCCACUCCCUCCCACCUUUCCUGGUAAAGUUCUGCUACUUUUCAAUUUGCCAGGCAGUCUUGUGGGCUAUUUGCUAACUAGCUCACCCCACCCACCCCCUUAGUUUCCUACUCAGUUACAGCAAAAAGGGGACAGCCACUCUCUCGUCUAAAUGUCAGUAGCCCUGUUGUUUAUUUCUCUUCCUCUGGAAGGGUCAGAUAACACACACCAAUUUAUUAAACAGUCAUAUCUCUGGAAAGCUCGGAUCCUCCAUUCAAGUUUUGCACUUUUAUUCUGUUUCAAAAACCAGCAGCAGGUUCUUCCAGUGAACACCCAAUUCCUCCAAAGACUUCACCACAUUGUACCGCAUUCCACUCUUCCAAGUAGCAGCUCAAAUCUUCCCAUGAGCUCCAGGUCUGUAUUUAAGCCCUUUGAGUCCACCUCUCGCUUUCUAGAAAAGUAAAGCAACCACAUGCAUAAACCACAUGGUUUAUGCAACAAAGAGUAGGUCCUAUGACUGAUGAUCUCCUCCAGUAUCUUAGUUAAGUUCAAGGAGCAGAGUAAUUAUGGAAGGAGAACAUUUGUGUUGUUGAUAGAACACUGAAAAGUGGAGGACACGAUUCUGUGCACAUUUUUCUCAAAAUAAGUCUUGAGUGGGACUUGUUUGAGUCUGCAUAUGCAGGAUUACUUUCUAAUGUGAUAAUAAGAGGUUGGGGAAAAUUGGAAAUGUGGGUUGUGGAGCCAGAACCAUCAAGAAUCAGAUAAUUGCAGCUCAUCUUAGGUUUAGGGCAUGCUUUGUGGGCAGAGAAAAGCAUACUCAGCCAGGAAUGAGGAGGGAACAGCAUUGGAUUUUGGUACCGCAUGGCAUUAGACUCUGGGCCUGUUUUAGAUGGCUAUUUCCUGACUGCUAAUAACAGCAAGGAAAUUGUGUUUUGAACUACCUUGUUGUAGAGAGAUUAUCAUUAACUGCUUGAAGAGCAAUCUUGUCUCAAUAUCCAGAUUAUGGUUGAUUAGUAGGUAUGCAGGAAUGUACAGGUAAAUCUCGUUUACUGUUUUACUAUCUUAUUCAGCAACCAUUUGAAGCUAUAACUACUGAAAAAAUAACUUCAAGGUCAAUGCCUGCAUUUAUGACCUUUGCAGUGUCCCUCAGUUAUGUGAUUAUAGUUAGUAUGUAUUACCCUCUGCCUGAUCUGUUCCUUUUUUCCCCCAUCCUUGCGGAGAAGACAGAUUGGAAAAUAAUGCAUUAGAAGAGAGGAAGCAGACACACAGUGGGAGUACAUAUCAAAAGGUGUUCAAUGGAAAGAAAAAAAAGAUGUGAACAGCUUGGGAAAAACAUGGUAAAGUUGUAAAUGGAAGAUGCCAAUGUUUGGAUCCCUGUGAAAUUUCUGUGAAUGAAACAGUUGGAGUGCAAAAUAAAAGCCUCAUGUGAAAGUACCAUUAGCUAAAGCAACUGAAGGAAAACAGGAGCAAGAAUAUACUUUAUAUGCAAGAAAGCAUACUAAUGUACAAUGUAUUUAUAAUUUAUUUACAGCAUGACAACAAAGGCGCUUUUCCUUGAUAUUGCUAUAAUUAAAGCCCAAGCUACUUCUA